GUCACAGCUACACUAGAGGGCACUUGAACCCCACUUUUACUGCAGACCAAGUCAUUGACUCAGGUAUUGGUGGUGCUUUUGGAAGGGGGGCGAGGAAUGGGGAAGUGGAGGAGGGCAACGGGAGGGGUAUAUUUAUUUUAACAUCUUCAAUAAACCCAUCGGUAUUUGAGGAAGCUUCCACGUCAGACUUUGGGGACCAAAACCUUAAUUAUACAAUAUAAUUGUUGUUAAUGGAACGUGUACAUUUCAACCCAGCAAGAUUGGUGGUGUUUAAUGCCAGCAUGACAUAUUUCCCAAAUUGUGGUCUUUAUUUGUAUAAAUAGGAAAGAAGCAAAAAUUGCAUCAGCUCUCUGCAUAAUGAAGAGGGAGGGAAGUGCAGCCUGUGCUGUGGUGGCCAGAUGCUCUUUUAUCUCUUUUCAAAUCAACAUGCAGAGCUGGUGGCCCUCAAACAGAAAGCAUCUUUCCCAAGGGAUGGCAGAACUGUACGUUUGGAAUGAUAACAUUCCAUAAAUAAAUAAAAAAGAUUAUUAAGAACGCUGUGUAAAUCUCCUAGUCAAACACCCCUUCAAGCAACCAUCAUCAGUAAUUCAGUUUGGUCCCUUAAUCCCACUGUAUACAAAUACACAGCAUAAAUACAGUAUUUAACAAGCACCAGAGAGAAAGCAGCACUCUUGCAAUAAAGACUCAUUUAGGAAGAAUGAACAUGCCUUGCCCCCAGUCCUGCUGGCCGCCCCCAGGAUUCAGUUCUUGAUUUGACUCUCCCACCUGGAUGAGAUGUCCAGCUCACAUGACUGAAUCCCUGGCAUAACCCCCUAUUUAAAUAAAACCUAAAAAUAUUAACUUUGGUCCCACAACCUUUUUGUUCCACAUCAGGGAAUUCACAGGGUAUCCAUUAGAAACCAUAUCACAUUUACAAGGCUCCACGGACUUCCUUAAGCCUUGAUGCUCCAACGGGUUAUACAGGCUAAGAGGUGGGGAUGAGUGCAGAUCCGAAGUGGGUGGGUGAGGAUCUCCCAGCCUCUCAGCCCUGGCACGGGGACUUGCUUUUCUCCAGGCUAUCUGGUUCUCUCUGUUUAUUCUCUGCCUGCUUUCCUUGUGUCUCUCGUUGUUUCUCUCUAAAUCUCCAUCUUUCCCUCUCUGUCCCUCUCCCCCUCCCUCCUUUCCUCUCUGUCUUUGUAACUCUCCCUCAAUUUUACUCAUUUUAGUGGUUCACUCUUUGGAUCUAGGACCUUGGUCAGCAUGAGCAUUGCACUCACAGAGAGGGUGACACGUUUCCUGAUGCCUGAAAGAGAGAAAUAAGAUGGCCCAGGAGACUCCAGGGCACUCUGCCCACUAAGCAUCUUUUUGUGAGUGAGAGGCCAUUUCUCCAGCUGUCCAUUGCAGCAUUCCACAACCCAGACUGCUGCUGUCCAUGCUGAUUGGUGUUUGAGAGGGCAGAAUGGACCCCUGAUUCACUUCCCAUCAGGAACACUUGCCACCAGGAAACCCCCUCAAUCUACUCUUCCCUUGCCCUUUAAGACCUUCUAUUUCAGGGUCCUCCCCCUGCCAGAUUGAAAGAUGACAGACUGAGGACAAGCCCUAAGGGGACAGAGAGUCUAAGGCUCCAUGUUCCAACUCUGCAAGCCCCACCUCAGCUCAACUCAACACCUUAGACCUUCAGCUCACAGUUCUCUACAGGACACUUGUGAAAACUUGGAAAAUAUUAAUUGCUUAACAGUCCGCUUGCAAGUUGAACAGGCAGAUAAGGAGGAAAAGCCUUUCUUCUUUGACAAGCUUUCCAUGAAACAUAACCCCAGAACACGAGUGCCCAGAUGUAUACAUUCCAGGCAUGAAAAUGAAGGAUAAUUCUCCAAAAAGACUGACUGGCCCUUGGGACAAGAUCCACAGAGACUUCAUCUGAAACGUUCUUCAUCAAUCAAGUAAGCCCACUCAUCUAUUGAUAAUGCUUACUGAGGGGCAAGCCACCCCAUGCACAUAAAGUCUCCUCUUAGCUUUUUAGUGUACCACUUCUUAAUCAUAAAUAAACAUUUAAGGAUCACCAGACAUUUGUAGAAGACCUCAACUAUGAAAAAAGAGAACUUAACAAAUAAACUUUUUUUGGAAGGCUGAGAAGACAUAGAGACAAUAGAGGGAGCAGAAAAAUAAAUAACAAAAACAAACAACCCUAUAGAUAUUAUUGUCAUCUGAAAGUUUUGAGAAAGUAUUGCAUUCAUGAAACAAGAAUAAGAUGCAAUUAAAAAGUAUAAUCGGAGUGAAAAAAUGAAUUAGCCAAGAUAAAAAAUAUUCAAUAGAACACUUGGAAGAUAAGGUUGAGUAACUCUCCUUGAAAAGCCAAAGAAAAAGAUGAGAAUGAAGAGAAAGAAAAUUAGGGGACCAAGCCAAUGUAUCCAACAUCUGAAAUUCCAAGAAGGGAAAGUGGAGAGAAUUAUGGGGUGGAAAUAAUCUAAUAAGUGGUUUAAUUUCCCAGAACUGAAAGACAUGAGUUUCCAGAGAAGGCCCAGCAUCAUGUAUUUAAAACAACAACCAAAAAAACUACCUAAGCAAAUAUUAUGAAAUUUCAGAAUAUCAGAAAUAGGACAGAUUGUAAGUUGACAGAGAAGAAAACCUGUCACAAAGGAUAAGGAAUAAAAAUGGCAUCAUGCCUCUUACUAGCAACACUGAGGCCAGACAACAACAUAACAAUUGAUAUUCUGAGAAAAAAAGCAUGUUCAGUCUACAUCUAUACCAAGACACACUCUUAAUCAAGUAUGAGGGUAAAACAAUGAACUUUCAGAUAAACACAGACUAAGGUAAUAUGCCUCUUAUGCACCCUUUCUCAAGACUAACUGGAGUCAGUGUUUCCCUAAAAUGUUUAAUCAGCUAACAAGGUGCUAUGAUGUGGAUAUUUGACCCUCCAAAUAUCAUGUUGAAAAUUGAUCCCCAUUGGUAGAGGUAGGGCCUGGUGGGAGGUAUGGGUUGUGGAGGUGGAUCCCUCAUGAAUGGCUUGGUGCCAUUCUCGCAGGAAUGAGUGAGUUCUCACUCUUAGUUCUCAUGAAAAUUCGUUGUUGAAAAGAACCUGGCACCUACUCCCCAUUGCUCUUUCUUCCCUUCGCCAUGUGAUGCCUGCUGCCCUUCAUCUUCCACCAUGACUGGAAGCUUCCUGAGGUCCCCACCAGAAGCAG
rnacentral:lncRNA from 1 species